rnacentral:lncRNA from 1 species
UCUUAUGAAACUGUGUAAGGAUUUUAAUUCAGAAGUCAUCCUGAGAAUUAACCAAGAAAUAUUAAACUUCCUGAAGUUUUAGAGUAUCUUACUUGUCAAGGAUUUAUAAUUCUCGGAUAUUUAGUUUCAGGUACCUCUACCAUCAACCACCUGUGGACCUGCUGUCCCAUCAACAUCUAGUGCCCCCCUGAGUCAGCUGCUGAACUAGGAGACAAUGCGCUAUGGAUCCGGCUACGAAGCCCCUCCAUACUUAAGUAUAAUAUGUUUUGUUAGUUUUUUGGUUAGUUUUGUUUAAUUUGAUGGUACAUUAUUUUAUACUUUUAUGAAAAAUAAACAUGAUUAGUUAAAA